rnacentral:rRNA from 1 species
AGAGUUUGAUCCUGGCUCAGGAUGAACGCUGGCGGCGUGCCUAAUACAUGCAAGUCGGACGAAUCUCUUUUAGAGAUGAGUGGCGAACGGGUGAGUAAUACAUAGGUAACCUGCCCCUGUGCGGGGGAUAACAGGAGGAAACUCCUGCUAAUACCGCAUAGCCAUGAGCACCGCAUGGAGCUCAUGCCAAAUAUCCUUUCGGGGACAGCGCAGGGAUGGACCUAUGGCGCAUUAGCUGGUUGGCGGGGCAACGGCCCACCAAGGCAACGAUGCGUAGCCGGCCUGAGAGGGCGGACGGCCACAUUGGGACUGAGACACGGCCCAGACUCCUACGGGAGGCAGCAGUAGGGAAUUUUCGGCAAUGGGGGAAACCCUGACCGAGCAACGCCGCGUGAGCGAAGAAGGCCUUCGGGUCGUAAAGCUCUGUUGUAAAGGAAGAACGGCGCAUACAGGAAAUGGUAUGCGAGUGACGGUACUUUACCAGAAAGCCACGGCUAACUACGUGCCAGCAGCCGCGGUAAUACGUAGGUGGCGAGCGUUAUCCGGAAUCAUUGGGCGUAAAGAGGGAGCAGGCGGCCGCAAGGGUCUGUGGUGAAAGACCGAAGCUAAACUUCGGUAAGCCAUGGAAACCGGGCGGCUAGAGUGCGGAAGAGGAUCGUGGAAUUCCAUGUGUAGCGGUGAAAUGCGUAGAUAUAUGGAGGAACACCAGUGGCGAAGGCGACGGUCUGGGCCGCAACUGACGCUCAUUCCCGAAAGCGUGGGGAGCAAAUAGGAUUAGAUACCCUAGUAGUCCACGCCGUAAACGAUGGUCACUAAGUGUCGGGGGUCAAACCCCGGUGCUGCAGUCAACGCAAUAAGUGACCCGCCUGAGUAGUACGUUCGCAAGAAUGAAACUC